UUGUGUACUUUAAUCAGCAGCAUGGAAUAAAAUAUUCUCUGGUUUCCCAGUUCUUCAGGGAAGCUUCCAUCUGAGACCUGGAACCUUCAGGUGACAAAAUAAAAUGAAAAUAAAGCAGCAGAUUUCUGUGUGUCCACCAGCUGUCUUACAACAGUGUACAGAGAAGUAUAGACAUUUUAAAAAUAUUUGGGACUUUUGAGCUGGAAAGAUCAUCCAGGGUAGAGGAUCCAAGCAUGUUCUGAAAUGAAUUGUAGCUGGAGAAGGAACCGCUAAGAGGCAUUUCCACAGCUGAGAAGCAGACGGCUUAUGUACACACACCACCUUGGAUCUCCUAAUCAGAAAGGAUGCUCCUACAGCUUGGACUGGUUUCUCCCUGAGAGAGGAGGAGGGAAAAGAAGGGAACACGAAAGUGGGUCAGGAAUGUAACUAGACUCUACCCACCUCCCCACUUGGUUUUAGAGACAGGCGGCGGCACUGCCUUCCGGAUGGAAAGCAGGCCUUAUGCUGCUGCUGUUUCCCACCAACCAGGCUCCCUGAUGGUUACUAAGGGAUACUGAGGGAUGUGUUUCCUUGUGACUUUGGGGGAGGGGGGGAUGACCAAUUUUUUGGAUGCAAUCAAUGUCCUUAGUUGAGUUUUUCUAAACUGAGGAGAGGAAAUCUGCAACAGGCCUUAAGCAAGAUGGAAACGGCAACGUUCUGUUCAGAAGGCCGUAAACCUCAACAUGUGAACAUUCCUUGCAGUUUUUAAUUCCCCCCUCCCUUGAUCUUUUCUGUUCUUGAUGGGUAAAUAGUUUGCCUUGAAAGAAAUACUGUUUUCUGCACCAUGUACAUAAGCUUCAGAGUUGGGCCAACUGGACAACUCUCCAUUUAGGGCCUUAAACGUUAAAAAAAAAACUUGUUAGCAGCUGGACAAUGGCUUCUAGCUUGUGUUUAGCAUUCAUUAUAGUCUCACCAGGGCUCAGGUGUGCCCAUCAGAGAGAAUUUUUAUAGUAGUUUAUACUCUUUUAUAUCUGUCCACAGAACAUUCUUCCAACAACCAAUUGGCUUAUAAAACUGUAGAUGGGCAGAAAUGUUCUUUUUGAAAAGUAGUGGCUUUCUCGUCCUAUUCUUGUGCAUAUUUAUUCAAAAGUAAUACUGACAAUUUUUUGGUUCUUAUUUGCAGCCAUGAAUGCUGAAGAGAGCAGCUUAUAUUUGAAAUCCACUUGCAUAUUUGAGUAUAUUCUCAUUAUGGUUUUCUUCUGCCACUUUGCCUCAAACAAAAAAAAAAUCAAAUAAAUUUUGGUAUCUGACAGGCAGGCAGGCAGAGGCAGCCUGUUUGUAUCUCAGAAGGAUUGACUCUGUCUGCCUGCUUCAGAUUCCAAGACAGACUCUGAGAUGCUUCAAGAUAUAGAUAGAGAUCAUACCUGGCACCUGCACAACAGGUUUGAAGGCAGACACUAGAAGGAUGUGACAGUGGUCCAGAUAAUAGCAUGUGAAUCAUGUACAGUAAAAGAGUUUCUGUUCACAUUAGAAACGGGCAGAUCAUUGUUCUAAAGCUUAAACAGAUGUGUCAUUCUUUUGAAUCUGAAUUUCAUAAACAGCAAGUGGAAGGAAGGAUUAUUUUGCCUCUUUGUUUUUCAGAACUACUUCAACGAACUCCUGCUUAUCAGUCUUGAAAAGAUGUGUUGAAACCAGUUAGACUACUUUUUCAUAACACCCAUCUGGCUAGAGGGCCUUGAGAAAGGAGUUGUGUAACACUGCUGAAGUUCUGAGACCUGAAAUAUUUCAUACGCAAAUGAUGUUCACCCACCAUGAUUCCUUAAAGGUGUUAUUAUUUCUGACUUCUUUUAAAAUAGGUAUUGAUGUUUUUCAAUACUUCUCUCGAAAAGGCAUUUGAUUUGAGUAAGUAAAAACUGUAGACUGAAAUCAUGUUUGAAGGCAGUUUUUCACAUGAAAAGGAUACUUCUGUUUUUAAGAUCCACUGUGAAGUCAUACUUAACCAACUAUUUCAAUUACAACAGUAACCGAAUUCUAUAAUUCACUAAAUUUCAGCCAGAGUGCUAAUGAUGGGUUACAAGCAAUUUGCUGUCAGGAAUAUGCCUGGAUUAGUUUACAGUCUCCUCUCUUCACAUGUUUUCUAUCUUCUUAAUCUAGUCAAGCCUUCCUAAUCUACUCAAGCCACUGUUACCAAUACACUUUGGUUGCCUGCUGUAUGGGAUGAUGGGGAGGCAAAUAUUAGCAUCUGAAAAGCCAGUGCUUGGGGUACAGGAACUAGACAAGUUGCCACCCUGCUUCUUAUCUAAAAUUGAGUCUGGCCUGUUUGUGGUUUGAAGUUCAUCUAUACAAUUUUGUUCUUUUUCACCAGAGCACUGGUGCAAACUACUGCACUCUUUGGAACUGCCUCUCUGUAGGCUCAAUCAGCCUAAGGAUAAUAGAAAGAUAAAUUCCUCAAGCCAGACCUGUAGGUUCUAUUAAUAAUAUUUUUAAAGGUAACUUCCAUUCCCAUAUGCAAGCAGCUUUCUAUUCCCAUAUGCAAGCAGCUUUCUAUUCCCAUAUGCAAGCAGCUUCAACACAGUUGGUAUCCUGAAAACCAAGUGGGAUUCUUGCAAAUAGCCAGGCUGGCCGGCCAUUAUGGCACUCCAAACCCCACCAUUUCAGAAAGGUGUUAGGAUGGAAAAGGUUGUCAUUCCUUCUUGGUGAUGACCCCUCCACCCAUAUGAAAAAGUGAUUCUGAUCAGAGCUGUCUAAGAAGCAUUAACCCUCUUCAUGAAUUGGGAAGCUUAGUGGGAUACAGCUUAGUGGGAAGGAAUGGUACUUUGAUUAAUGAAGUUGGUGGGUAACCUUUGCCAGGCACAAUUUUUCAAGCAAACCAGAUUUUACAUUCCACACAGACCACAUUGCAGUGAAUGGAAAGAGAAAAGCAAUACAAAUGUGAUCAUUAAACAACAUAAAAAUUGGUCAGAAUCGAACUCCUGGCUGUGGGCAGAGUUAGCCUGCAAUGCUGCAUUCUAACCACUACCACUAUGGCUCCUUCUAUUAUUCAUUAUUAUCAAUAGUAAUGUGAUUUUUAGCAAAAGCGACUUCACAAAAUAAAAAUUGGUAUUCUUGAA